rnacentral:rRNA from 1 species
AUCCUGCCAGUAGUCAUAUGCUUGUCUCAAAGAUUAAGCCAUGCAUGUCUCAGUGCAAGCCACAUUGAGGUGAAACCGCGAAUGGCUCAUUAAAUCAGUUAUGGUUCCUUAGAUGGUCGUUUCAGUUACUUGGAUAACUGUGGUAAUUCUAGAGCUAAUACAUGCAAUUAAGUCCCUUCUGGAGACGGAAGGGACGCUUUUAUUAGAUCAAAAUCAAUCGGGUUCGCACGCUCGCCUACGGGCGGGGUGCGUCCCGUUGGCCUUGGUGACUCUGAAUAAGGUUGUGGCGGAUCGUACGGUCCUCGCACCGGCGACGCAUCUUUCAAAUGUCUGCCUUAUCAACUGUCGAUGGUAGGUUGUACGCCUACCAUGGUUGUAACGGGUAACGGGGAAUCAGGGUUCGAUUCCGGAGAGGGAGCCUGAGAAACGGCUACCACAUCCAAGGAAGGCAGCAGGCGCGCAAAUUACCCACUCCCAGCACGGGGAGGUAGUGACGAAAAAUAACGAUACGGGACUCAUCCGAGGCCCCGUAAUCGGAAUGAGGACACUUUAAAGCCGUCCACGAGGACCCAUUGGAGGGUAAGUCUGGUGCCAGCAACCGCGGUAAUUCCAGCUCCAAUAGCGUAUAUUAAAGUUGUUGCGGUUAAAAAGCUCGUAGUCGGACUUGUGUCCCACGCUGCCGGUUCACCGCCCGUCGGUGUAACUGGCAUGUCGCUGCGGACGUCCUGCCGGUGGCCCGAUCCUAUCCGGGAUCACCGCGUGGAGGGCGCGUGGCGUUAGCGGAGCUCCGCAGCGGCUGUUCCGGGCCCGUCCCGUGUAGCCGUGUCGCGGAUACCUCCCUCGCCCGUCGUCUCUCUUCGUAGGACCCGGCCUUAGGGGAGGGCCUGAUUGUACCCGUCGCGGUGCUCUUGACCGAGUGUCUCGAUGGGCCGGCACGUUUACUUUGAACAAAUUAGAGUGCUUAAAGCAGGCAGGGUGAGCCUGAAUACAGAGUGCAUGGAAUAAUGGAAAAGGACCUCGGUUCUAUUUUGUUGGUUUUCUGAAUUUCCGAGGUAAUGAUCAAUAGGGACAGACGGGGGCAUCCGUACUGCGGCGUGAGAGGUGAAAUUCUUGGACCGCCGCAAGACGAACCUAAGCGAAAGCAUUUGCCAAGAAUGUUUUCUCUGAUCAAGAACGAAAGUUAGAGGUCCGAAGGCGAUCAGAUACCGCCCUAGUUCUAACCAUAAACGAUGCCAGCCAACAAUUCGCAGAAGUUCCUCCGAUGACUCUGCGGGCGGCUUCCGGGAAACCAAAGCUUUUGGGUUCCGGGGGAAGUAUGGUUGCAAAGCUGAAACUUAAAGGAAUUGACGGAAGGGCACUACAAGGAGUGGAGCCUGCGGCUUAAUUUGACUCAACACGGGGAAUCUCACUAGGCCAGGACAGAGGAAGGAUUGACAGAUUGAGAGCUCUUUCUUGAUUCUGUGGGUGGUGGUGCAUGGCCGUUCACAGUUGGUGGAGUGAUUUGUCUGGUUAAUUCCGAUAACGAACGAGACUCUAGCCUGCUAACUAGUCGUUCCGGCAUCCGUUGUGCUGCCGGCGACUUAAUCUCUUCUUAGAGGGACAAACGGCUUACAGCCGUAUGAGAUUGAGCAAUAACAGGUCUGUGAUGCCCUUAGAUGUCCUGGGCCGCACGCGCGCUACACUGAAGGGAUCAACAGGUUUUCCUAGACUGGUAGGUCCGGGGAACCCGUUGAAUCGUCUUCGUGCUAGGGAUUGGGGAUUGAAAUUGUUCCCCAUGAACGAGGAAUUCCUAGUAAGCGUGGGUCAUAAGCUCGCGUUGAUUACGUCCCUGCCCUUUGUACACACCGCCCGUCGCUACUACCGAUUGAAUGAUUUAGUGAGGUCUUCGGACCGGUGGACGCUGCGGGGUUUUACGGCCCUUCGCGAUUGCGCCGGGAAGAUGCCCGAACUUGAUUAUUUAGAGGAAGUAAAAGUCGUAACAAGGUUAUCGUAGGUGAACCUGCGAUAGGAUCAUUA